rnacentral:rRNA from 1 species
CUCGGCAGACCAACAUGCAGUCGAACGGUAACAGGAAGCAGCUUGCGUGCUUCGCUGACGAGUGGCGGACGGGUGAGUAAUGUCUGGGAAACUGCCUGAUGGAGGGGGAUAACUACUGGAAACGGUAGCUAAUACCGCAUAACGUCGCAAGACCAAAGAGGGGGACCUUCGGGCCUCUUGCCAUCGGAUGUGCCCAGAUGGGAUUAGCUAGUAGGUGGGGUAACGGCUCACCUAGGCGACGAUCCCUAGCUGGUCUGAGAGGAUGACCAGCCACACUGGAACUGAGACACGGUCCAGACUCCUACGGGAGGCAGCAGUGGGGAAUAUUGCACAAUGGGCGCAAGCCUGAUGCAGCCAUGCCGCGUGAAUGAAAAACGCCUUCGGGUUGCACCUGACUUUCUACGGCCAUCAACGAAACUCAGGCUUGCCCUUAUCUCAUGCAGUUCCCAGGUUGAGCCCGGCGAUUUCACAUCUGACUUAACAAACCGCCUGCGUGCGCUUUACGCCCAGUAAUUCCGAUUACGCUUGCACCCUCCGUAUUACCGCGGCUGCUGGCACGAAGUUAGCCGGUGCUUCUUCUGCGGGUAACGUCAAUGAACACAGGUAUUAACUUUACUCCCUUCCUCCCCGCUGAAAGUACUUUACAACCCGAAAGGCCUUCUUCAUACACGCGACAUGGCUGCAUCAGGCUUGCGCCCAUUGUGCAAUAUUGCCCCACUGCUGCCUCCCGUAGGAGUCUGGACCGUGGUCUCAGUUCCAGUGUGGGCUGGUCAUCCUCUCAACCAACUAGGGAUCUGCGCCUAAGUGAGGCGGUUAUCCCCGCCUACUAGCUUAUCCCAUCCUCGGCACAGUCCGAUAGGACAGACGCUUAAAGUGCUCCCCUCCUUUUUUUGCUUUGUGACACUGUAUGCAGGCGUUAGCUAACCAGUGUUCUACUAGUUUAUUCCCCCCUCCAUCAAGACAGUAUUCUCGCAGAUGUAUUCACCGGUACGUCAGUCAUCAACCGAACAGCACUCGGUUACUUGUUAGCCAAUCGACUGCAUGUGAUAUGCCGAGCUGAUCUGUAGCGACAAAAACGCUG